CAGGCUGCAACCCGCCUGCAUGAAGUCGGAAUUGCUAGUAAUCGCGGAUCAGCAUGCCGCGGUGAAUACGUUCCCGGGCCUUGUACACACCGCCCGUCACACCAUGGGAGCCGGUAAUACCCGAAGUCAGUAGUCCAACCUCGUGAGGACGCUGCCGAAGGUAGGAUUGGCGACUGGGGUGAAGUCGUAACAAGGUAAC
rnacentral:rRNA from 1 species